AUGCAUAUGGCGAGUCGCGAGGAUGAUGAUGAUGAUGAUGAUGAUGAUGAGAUGGAGGAUUGCCUCCCAAACAGGACGAAACCUAACAAAAGCUCUGAUGAUGAAGAGUGCGAAGGCCGAAGUUCUCCAAAGCAUCCUUAUCAAAAUGGGAAGAAGAUGGAAAAGACCGAACCUAAGACCUGUGGCCCUCACAAUAAGUAUUCAGGGAAAAAGAAAAAGUCAGCGUUAAAUGAAGGAAAGCAGUCUUCCCCAGAUCCAGACAUUCGGGGUAAGCCACAUGGAAACUUCUCUACUUCAAAGUCUGGUGAACUUGAUAUUCCAAAGAGGCUAAGGGUGAGAAGAAAAGAGUUGGAGUCUGAGGAAGAAGAGCUGAAAGAGAGAAAUGCUGGCAGACCAGAUGAUGAAACUAGCAAUUCUAAUAGAAGACGACAGCUGCAAAAGAACAGGAAUGGACCUAAAAUGCAUGGCAGCCAUUCUUCAGAAGCAAGGCCACAAAAAAAAUCUCAUGUUAUAGUGGAUGAUUCUGAAGGUGGAGGGGAGGAGGGCAUCCCCCCAAAAAUCAAAACCAUAAGAAAAAAGCAGUUUGCAUCUUCUAAUGACUCAUCAGAAGGAAAGAGUGAAGAGUCAGAGAGUGACAAGAACACAAUCUCCAACAGAAGGCCUUGUCUUCGGCCUUUGGUAAAAAAGAAGUAUGUCAGCGAUGACUCAGAAGACAACUCAAACUCCAGUAGCCAAAGUCGGUCAACCAGCAAAACCAACACUGCUACAACAAAAAGAUUCCUUCGUGAACGGGGUAAAGCUCAAAAUGGCAAUUCAAAAAAUGGCUCCUGCAAAAGGAAAUACCUUUGUACAUCGGGAUCUGAGGAUGAAUCUCAAGGUUUAAAGCAGGGCACAUCAGACAUGGAAGAAGGCGGCGGGGAUAACCUGAAAAGAACUCGGGCUAAACGAAGCAGGACCAGACCACAGACUGAGUCUGAAACAGAGGAUGAGCAGAGGAGGGGCAACUUGUCGAUUUGCAGUGGGCCAAACAAAUCGACUGAGGGUGACAUUGGGUCUUCAGGUGGACUGAGGUCAGUGUUCAACUCCCGACGCCGGGGUGGUUACAGCAGCAGUAGUGCCUCUGACUAUGAUGUGGACGAGGAAUCAUCCCCCUCCAAGUCACAGUCUCCCAGCUCAGGGUCUGAGAGCAGCCCAAAGCGAAGAAAUGGUAGAAUGCAAAGGGUUGUAAAAGCCAGAAAAAAGAGGCGAAAGAUGUCAGAGGCAGAGAGCAAUGACAAAUAUGGGAAGCUGCGGAGAUGCACGACGAUCAGGACACGAAACUGUGGCAGACGGACUGUGACAUAUCAUGACAGCGAAUGA
rnacentral:lncRNA from 1 species